rnacentral:rRNA from 1 species
ACAAGCGGUGGAGUAUGUGGUUUAAUUCGAUGCAACGCGAAGAACUUACCUGGUCUUGACAUCCCGGAGACCCUUAGGAAACUAGGGGUGCUUCCAUCUGGAAGAAUCUGGAGACAGGUGCUGCAUGGCUGUCGUCAGCUCGUGUCGUGAGAUGUUGGGUUUAAGUCCCGCAACGAGCGCAACCCUUGCCUUUAGUUGCCAGCAGUUCGGCUGGGCACUCUAAAGGGACUGCCGGUGUUAAACCGGAGGAAGGUGGGGAUGACGUCAAGUCCUCAUGGCCUUUAUGACCAGGGCUACACACGUACUACAAUGGCCGAUACAAAGGGCAGCGACACUGCGAGGUGAAGCCAAUCCCGUAAAAUCGGUCUCAGUCCGGAUUGGAGUCUGCAACUCGACUCCAUGAAGUUGGAAUCGCUAGUAAUCGUGGAUUAGCAUGCCACGGUGAAUACGUUCCCGGGCCUU